UGGGGAAUUUUGGACAAUGGGCGAAAGCCUGAUCCAGCAAUGCCACGUGAGUGAAGAAGGCCUUCGGGUUGUAAAGCUCUUUUGUCAGGGAAGAAACGGUGAGAGCUAAUAUCUUUUGCUAAUGACGGUACCUGAAGAAUAAGCACCGGCUAACUACGUGCCAGCAGCCGCGGUAAUACGUAGGGUGCAAGCGUUAAUCGGAAUUACUGGGCGUAAAGCGUGCGCAGGCGGUUUUGUAAGUCUGAUGUGAAAUCCCCGGGCUCAACCUGGGAAUUGCAUUGGAGACUGCAAGGCUAGAAUCUGGCAGAGGGGGGUAGAAUUCCACGUGUAGCAGUGAAAUGCGUAGAUAUGUGGAGGAACACCGAUGGCGAAGGCAGCCCCCUGGGUCAAGAUUGACGCUCAUGCACGAAAGCGUGGGGAGCAAACAGGAUUAGAUACCCUGGUAGUCCACGCCCUAAACGAUGUCUACUAGUUGUCGGGUCUUAAUUGACUUGGUAACGCAGCUAACGCGUGAAGUAGACCGCCUGGGGAGUACGGUCGCAAGAUUAAAACUUAAAUGAAUUGNCGGGGUCAUAGCUGUUUCCUG
rnacentral:rRNA from 1 species